rnacentral:rRNA from 1 species
UACGUAGGGCGCAAGCGUUGUCCGGAAUUAUUGGGCGUAAAGGGCUCGUAGGCGGUUUGUCGCGUCGGGAGUGAAAAUCCAGGGCUUAACUCUGGACUGGCUUUCGAUACGGGCAGACUAGAGGUAUGCAGGGGGAGAACGGAAUUCCUGGUGUAGCGGUGAAAUGCGUAGAUAUCAGGAGGAAUACCGAUGGCGAAGGCAGGUCUCUGGGCUGACACUGACGCUCAUGCACGAAAGCGUGGGGAGCAAACAGG